AAGUAGUGAAGUAAAAUAUUACGCUUAGUUUCGACCUAAAAAUAGAGUUAUCUCCUUACUUU
rnacentral:tRNA from 1 species